UACAGGCCCCACCUUCCUGGUCACAGUGAUUGGCCUGGGAGUGGGUGCCUGAUUUGGCUCGAUCAAAAUGAGCUGUUUCCUGGGACAUUUGAACUAAAGACCUGCAAGAUCUAGUCUCAGUUCGUCUCAGAGCUGCAUGUUGUCCAGUGUAACCAUAGGAACUGCCGAGAUUGUAUGAGAUCAUGGGCUCUGGAAUCAGACAGUGUGAAUUCCAAUCCCUGCGCUAUUACAUAUUCAUUAUGAAACACUGAACAAACCACUUAAUCUCUUACAGGCUCAGCUUUCUCAUCACUGAACUGGAGAUACAGGUAGUCCGAUCCACGAAAGUGUGAGAGCCAUGAGCCUAGUCUCGACCUCAGGAGUCGCCUGAGGAAACUGAUGCUAAAAAUCCAAGUCGCAAAUCAAAAUAUUAGAAAAAUCAACCCAUGCUCUAGACUUGGAAGCCCAACACUUAGAUCAUCUCUCUCUGAGCAGAGCCAGCUGUUGGCCCCCAUAGGAGUUGGAGACUUGGAAUCCCCUUUGGUGCAGAAACUAUUCCUUCAUGAGAAGAAGUCCUUAAAUAGGCUCUUUAGACAGGAGGCCACAUGUUGAAGGCAGCAGGGUCACAAGAUGGAAGAACCAGGGUCCCUGCGUCAUCGCUCCCUGCUUCAAGCUGCCAGGGGCAGCCUAACCCACAUGGCAUUAUGACAUAAGAAACAAAGUAACUAUUGUUUUAUUAAAUCAAUGAGAUAUUGGGCUUCUUGUUAUAGCAACUAGUAUAAAUUGCCCUGACUGAUACAUUAUGGAUUUAGAGUGCACUGUACUACAACUGUUUGUUGUAUUUUCAAAAUUGUGGUAUAACUGACUUACAAUAAACUUCAUAUAUUUAAAGAGUACUAUUUAAUAAGUUCAACAUAUUCAUAUAUCCAUGAAACCAUCACCACAAUCAAAAUAAGACACAUUUCCAUCAACUGAAAAAGUCUCCUCAUUCUCCUUUGAAAUCUCUUCUUCCACAACUACAAACCACUGCUCAAGGAAAUAAGAGAGGACACAAAUGGAAAAACAUUCCAUACUCAUGGAUAGGAAGAAUCAAUGUCAUGAAAAUGGUCAUGCUGCCCCAAGAUUCAAUGCUUGGGGCAUUAUAGAUUCAAUGCUAUUCCCAUCAAACUACCAUACAUGUUCUUCACAGAAUUAGAAAAAAACUACUGUAAAAUUCAUAUAGAAUCAAAAAAGAGCCCAUAUAGCCAAGACAAUCCUAAGCAAAAAGAGCAAAGCUGGCAGCAUCACACUACCCAACUUCAAACUAUACUACAAGGCUACAGUAACCAAAAAAACAUGGUACUGGUACAAAAACAGACACAUAGACCAAUGGAACAGAAUAGAGAUCUCAGAAAUAAGACCACACAUCUACAACCAUCUGAUCUUCAACAAACCUGAUAAAAACAAGCAAUGGGGAAAGGAUUUCCUAUUUAAUAAAUGGUGCUGGUAAAACUGGCUAGCCACAGGCAGAAAAUUGAAACUGGACCCCUUUCUUACAUCUUAUACAAAAAUUAACUCAAGAUGGAUUAAACACCUAAACGUAAAACUCCAAACUAUAAAAAUCCUAGAAGAAAAUCUAGGCAAUGCCAUUCAGGACAUAGGCAUGGGCAAAGAUUUCAUGACUACAACAUCAAAAGCAAUUGCAACAAAAGCAAAAAUUGACAAAUGGGAUCUAAUUAAACUAUAGAGCUUCUGAAAGAAACUAUCAUCAGAGUGAACAGACAACCCUACAGAAUGGGAGGAAAUUUUUGCCAUCUAUCCAUCUGUCAAAGGUCUAAUAUCCAGAAUCUACAAGAAACUUAAAGAAAUUUACAAGAAAAAACACACAACCCCAUUAAAACGUGGGUAAAGGAUAUGAACAGACACAUCUCAAAAGAAGACAUGUAUGUGGCCAACAAACAUGGAAAAAAGGCUCAACAUCACUGAUCAUUAGAGAAAUGCAAAUCAAAACCACAACGAGAUACCACCUCAUACAAGUCAGAAUGGCAAUUAUUAAAAAGUCAAGAAACAGAUGCUGGCAAGGCUGUGGAGAAAUAGGGACACUUUUACACUGUUUGUGGGAAUGUAAAUUAGUUCAACCAUUGUGGAAGACAGUGUGGCGACUCCUCAAAGAUCUAGAACCAGAAAUACCAUUUGACCCAGCGGUCCCAUUACUGGGUAUACACCCCCCAAAAUAUCAGUCAUUGUGUUAUAAAGGUACAUGCACGCGUAUGUUCAUUGCAGCACUAUUCACACUAGCAAAGACAUGGAAUCAACCCAAAUGCCCAUCAAUGAUAGACUGGAUAAAGGAAAUGUGGUACAUAUACACCAUAGAAUACUAUGCAACCAUAAAAAGGAAUGAGAUCAUGGCCUUAGCAGGGAUAUAGGUGGAGCUAGAAGCCAUUAUCCUCAGCAAACUAACACAGGAACAGAAAAUCAAACACCACAUGUUCUCAUUAUAAGUGUGAACUGAACAAUGAGAACACAUGGAUGGAGGGAGGAGAACAACACACAUUGGGGCCUGUCGGGGAGGCAGAGGGAGAGAGAGCAUCAGGAUAAAUAGCUAAUGCAUGCAGGGCUUAAUACCUAGGUGAUGGGUUGAUAGGUGCAGCAAACCACCAUGGCACACGUUUAUCUAUGUAACAAACCUGCACAUCCUGCACAUGUACCCCAGAACUUAAAAUAAAAUAAAGAAA